rnacentral:rRNA from 1 species
GAUGAACGCUGGCGGCGUGCCUAAUACAUGCAAGUCGAGCGAACAGAUGAGGAGCUUGCUCCUCUGACGUUAGCGGCGGACGGGUGAGUAACACGUGGAUAACCUACCUAUAAGACUGGGAUAACUUCGGGAAACCGGAGCUAAUACCGGAUAAUAUAUUGAACCGCAUGGUUCAAUAGUGAAAGACGGUUUUGCUGUCACUUAUAGAUGGAUCCGCGCCGCAUUAGCUAGUUGGUAAGGUAACGGCUUACCAAGGCAACGAUGCGUAGCCGACCUGAGAGGGUGUUCGGCCACCCUGGAACUGAGACACGGUCCAGACUCCUACGGGAGGCAGCAGUAGGGAAUCUUCCGCAAUGGGCGAAAGCCUGACGGAGCAACGCCGCGUGAGUGAUGAAGGUCUUCGGAUCGUAAAACUCUGUUAUUAGGGAAGAACAAAUGUGUAAGUAACUAUGCACGUCUUGACGGUACCUAAUCAGAAAGCCACGGCUAACUACGUG